rnacentral:rRNA from 1 species
UACGUAGGGACCGAGCGUUGUCCGGAAUCAUUGGGCGUAAAGAGCGUGUAGGCGGCCACUUAAGUCCUGCGUGAAAUCUUGCGGCUCAACCGCAAGCGGUCGUGGGAAACUGGGUGGCUAGAGUGCGGGAGAGGAGAGUGGAAUUCCCGGUGUAGCGGUGAAAUGCGCAGAUAUCGGGAGGAACACCAAUGGCGAAGGCAGCUCGCUGGGACGUGACUGACGCUGAGACGCGAAAGCGUGGGGAGCAAACAGG